UACGUAGGGUGCGAGCGUUAAUCGGAAUUACUGGGCGUAAAGCGUGCGCAGGCGGCUUUGCAAGACAGAUGUGAAAUCCCCGGGCUCAACCUGGGAACUGCAUUUGUGACUGCAAGGCUAGAGUACGGCAGAGGGGGAUGGAAUUUCGCGUGUAGCAGUGAAAUGCGUAGAUAUGCGGAGGAACACCAAUGGCGAAGGCAAUCCCCUGGGCCUGUACUGACGCUCAUGCACGAAAGCGUGGGGAGCAAACAGG
rnacentral:rRNA from 1 species